CCUACGGGAGGCAGCAGUGGGGGAUAUUGCACAAUGGGGGAAACCCUGAUGCAGCGACGCCGCGUGUGGGAAGACGGUCCUCUGGAUUGUAAACCACUGUCCCCAGGGACGAAGAUGACGGUACCUGGGGAGGAAGCUCCGGCUAACUACGUGCCAGCAGCCGCGGUAAUACGUAGGGAGCGAGCGUUGUCCGGAAUUACUGGGUGUAAAGGGAGCGUAGGCGGGGAUGCAAGUUGGGUGUGAAAACUACCGGCUCAACUGGUAGUCGGACUCAAAACUGCAGCUCUUGAGUGAAGUAGAGGCAGGCGGAAUUCCUAGGGUAGCGGUGGAAUGCGUAGAUAUUAGGGGGAACACCAGUGGCGAAGGGGGACUGCUGGGCUUUUACUGACGCUGAGGCUCGAAAGUGUGGGGAGCAAACAGGAUUAGAUACCCGGGGAGGC
rnacentral:rRNA from 1 species